rnacentral:rRNA from 1 species
AGUGAACGCUGGCGGUAGGCCCAACACAUGCAAGUCGAACGGCAGCACAGUAAGAGCUUGCGCUUACGGGUGGCGAGUGGCGGACGGGAGAGGAAUACAUCGGAAUCUACUUUUUCGUGGGGGAUAACGUAGGGAAACUUACGCUAAUACCGCAUACGACCUACGGGUGAAAGCAGGGGAUCUUCGGACCUUGCGCGAUUGAAUGCGCCGAUGUCGGAUUAGCUAGUUGGCGGGGUAAAGGCCCACCAAGGCGACGAUCCGUAGCUGGUCUGAGAGGAUGAUCAGCCACAUUGGAACUGGGACACGGUCCAGACGCCUACGGGAGGCAGCAGUGGGGAAUAUUGGACAAUGGGCGCAAGCCUGAUCCAGCCAUCCCGCGUGGGUGAAGAAGGCCUUCGGGUUGUAAAGCCCUUUUGUUGGGUAAGAAAAGCAGCAGGUUAAUACCCCGCUGUUCUGACGGUACCCAAAGAAUAAGCACCGGCUAACUUCGUG